rnacentral:tRNA from 1 species
ACUUAUAUAAUUUAAAUUAGAAUCUUGCAUUGAAGCUGCAAAAGUGGCAGUGGCCUGUAGGUA